CUCUGCGUACAUGAUGGCAGCUGAAUGCAAAUACACAUCCAGUUACCUCCCCAAACGCUCCCUUCUUCAAUCACUCUGCGAUUUAGGCCUCACUGCGGGCGCCAAGGCAUCUUGGCGCCUGCGCAGUGUGAUCGCGGCACAUGUGCCUCUGCUGAUAAUCACUCUGUUUGUGUGAACAUCGGCAACUGCGUGCAAACAUGGGCCCUUUGUGUACUGCGUUGGCUUUUGCGGGGGAACAAGUGUGAUGCUGAGUUACACAAUUUGCUUGUGGUGCGCAUCCCCUGCAGACAGACCACACUCAUAGGGAAUAGUUGUGAUCAUUCUCAGCAUUAACCACAUGAAGUCUGCACUGGAUAAUGAUGACACACCUGUAACAGUGGGUGGAGCUUAUUAACAGCUCCUUAAUGAGCUCAUUAAAGUUAAUGAUCCCACCUUAUAAAUCCUGAAUGUCUCUCAGCCCAGCCAUUACACCCUGUCCUGAAUGAGGUGAGUGUAGCAGGUAGUAUGUGCCCUGAUGUGGGGGAUCAGUAAGCUGUAAUAUGCUGCACUGUGCCCUAUAGUAAGAAGGAGACUCUGUGGGGACUGUAGAUGAAUCUCCCGGUGGAAGUUUGCACGCAGACAGCAGAUGUCUCUCUGUAGGUAUUGCUCAGUCUCUGUUACUGCACUACGGGACCAGAUGCAUGCCCAGCCCGCUGUCCAGAUAUUAUCCUGGCUACUCUGCUCAGUAGUCAUUGACCAGAGCAUGCUGGGAUCUGUAGUUCCAUGUGCCCCAGAGCCGCAUGUGACUUUAGCCUCAGGCCUUGCUUUUCCAGAUCCUCAGAUUGCAGUCGGACUUCAGCUGUAACACAUGAAUGUAUUCUGUAGACUGACGCAGCCACAGCCGUGUUCUUAUGUUAUACUGUAUCUAUCACAUAGGAUGCUGCCAUGGUCCUGUGAAAUCCUGUCCUGUUACUGACGUGGAUGUCCCCAUGUCCGCUACCUAGGUGCAUCACAGUAACUGUCAUGGCAGCUCCCAGUCAGGGACGGCUGAGUCUGUAAGGGUGGGGUUCUGUAAAAUCUAUUACAUAGAACAACUGUUCACUAUUAUAAGUGUGCCCUGAUCUGAGGAGCGUGGUAUAACCGAGGCCCUUCUGCUCAGUGUCCGUUACAUAUUAUUUGUGGGUGUGACUGUUCCCCAGAUUAUUACUGAAUGGAAAUCUCGGACUGGAUGUUGGAGGCAGCAGAAGACUCGGACAAUGAGGUCUCUGUAGAUAAGAGCAGACACUAUCGGCUGGGCCCAGAUAAUCUCAAUGACACCUUAGAAUACGACCAAACCACCUGUGAUCCUGUUACGCCAGUUUAUAAAGAAGAAAAUGGCACCCUACCGGAGUCUGACUCCAAUACCCGAUCCUAUGAACCGAACUGAUAAUUACAUGCAGAUUUCUAGCGAGUACUGGCCUUUCCUCAGCGUUGUCACUCACUCCUCAGGUGAGCAGGCGGAUUAUACACCAGAUGCUGCUGUGCGUGUGAUUGGUGCGCUACCACUGUACUGGGGUAAUCGCUGGUAGUAACAGAGUAACUGUUUCCCUGUAUCGUACACAUUUAUUCUGGUCGUAGAGCCUGGAUAAGAAUAAAUCCGUCGCUGUAA